CACCUUUCUUUUUCAAUUGGCAAACCCCAAUUUGCUGCCCCACUCACCACUUACUCUUCUUUAACCCCCAAUUUCCAUCAACUUCUCCCACCUUCCACCCUCUACUCCUCUCAUUCGUAACUUGCACUCUCACUCGCCGAUGCUACCUUCUCUCUUCUCCAUCCAUCACCACUCGUCGCCGCCUCUAAUCGGUGUCGCCCCCACUUAUUGCUGCCCCUACAUACAGUCAAAGGUCCAUCUCUUUCAUAUCAGAUGAGCAUCUUUCUCAUUUAUUUUUGUUAUAUCAAUAGCUCAGUAAAAUUUAAAUUCUCUUGAUGCAUGAAAAAGAAUUGUAGUAUAUCUGGUAGAUCUAAGUCAUAGUUAAUCAUAAAAAGAAAAUAUUUAGAGAUAUGAGAAUAAAUGGACUAAUGAUACAUAUUUUUCUCUUGUAAGUGUUUGGAAGGUAUUCAUGAUGUAUAACUGAGAGAAGAUAAAAAAUAGUUCGAUAGGACAUUCUUUUUUUAGAAUAGGAUAUUGUUCUUUUGAUA
rnacentral:lncRNA from 1 species